AAAAAUGAAUAUUCUGUUACACUCUCUAUGGCUUUAUUCUCAUAGUAAAUAUGUGAUGUUUCACUUUUAUGUUUUGACUGACUAAAAAUCAUGGAUUUAGUUUUGUUUGUAUUCAAAGAGAGUUGCCAUUUGUUACAAUAUAAUUUAACGUUAUUUAAACUGUUUUGUAGACCCUCUUUUGAUUCUGACAGGAUUAAAAGAUCAUCCGCAAAAAGAAGGCAUCCUACCUUACUAUUUAUAAGUUUAAGGGGACUUGAAUCAUUUCCCUCAAAAUUUUUUACAAUAUCAUUUAUAAAGACAU
rnacentral:lncRNA from 1 species